GAAUCCCACAGGCCGUAAACCCAAGGUUUCCAGGGGAAGGUUCGUCCGCCCUGGGUUAGUCGGGACCUAAGCUGAGGCCGAAAGGCGUAGGUGAUGGACCACAGGUUGAUAUUCCUGUACUACCGAUAACCGUUUGAGAGAAGGGAUGACACAGUAGGAUAAGCUAAGCACACUGGUGGUUAUGUGUGCCCAAGCAGUGAGGCAGUCAAAGUAGGCAAAUCCGCUUUGAUAAUGCUGGGGUGUGAUGGGGAGCGAAAUUUAGUAGCGAAGU
rnacentral:rRNA from 1 species